GUCCUUAUGAAGUGUCCCAAACUAGGACGAAACGGCUGUCCAGUAC
rnacentral:hammerhead_ribozyme from 1 species